rnacentral:rRNA from 1 species
GACGAACGCUGGCGGCGUGCUUAACACAUGCAAGUCGAACGGAAAGGCCCUGCUUUUGUGGGGUGCUCGAGUGGCGAACGGGUGAGUAACACGUGAGUAACCUGCCCUUGACUUUGGGAUAACUUCAGGAAACUGGGGCUAAUACCGGAUAGGAGCUCCUGCUGCAUGGUGGGGGUUGGAAAGUUUCGGCGGUUGGGGAUGGACUCGCGGCUUAUCAGCUUGUUGGUGGGGUAGUGGCUUACCAAGGCUUUGACGGGUAGCCGGCCUGAGAGGGUGGCCGGCCACAUUGGGACUGAGAUACGGCCCAGACUCCUACGGGAGGCAGCAGUGGGGAAUAGUGCACAAUGGGCGGAAGCCUGAUGCAGCAACGCCGCGUGCGGGAUAACGGCCUUCGGGUUGUAAACCGCUUUCGCCUCUGACGAAGCGUGAGUGACGGUAAUGGGUAAAGAAGCACCGGCUAACUACGUG